AUGCGGCUGAGCAAGGCCUCGCCGGAGAAGAUGCUGGUUGCCAAGGUCGGAGAGAUACUCUGUUUUGCGGGAGGGACGCCGUGCAAGGCCCCACACGUCAGUGAGAGAGUAUGGAGGAGGUGUGACCCGAGUCAAAAGGCGGGGGAGCGUGCUGAGGUGGAGCAGCCACGUGAGGAAGAAGGAGAUGCCGUCAGGGCCUACUUUGGGCAGCUGUGGGGAGGGGACGCGUCCACAAACCCUAAUCCCCCCUCAGUCCUAGUCUGGAUCGAGAAGUCCCUCCUCCGCCGCCGCUCCUUCACCGUUGCAGACUGCCACCCUGCCUACGAUCAAGAUCAACACCGCCUCUCAGUGCCCACUAUUUCAAUUUCUGCAAGUGAGUGGAGAGGGGAGCAGCCCAACUUCUCGGAUCUGAUCGAGAUGGCUGAUGCUCAGGGCCGUGGUCGUGGGCGAGGCAGACGCGACCUGAAUAGGAAUCAGAGGGGAGGCGAUGGCCAUCUUGACCAAGCUGAUCAUGGAGGGAGCGGGCAGAACUAG
rnacentral:rRNA from 1 species